GUUGGUUUGUCCAGUCACAAAACACAAUUUUUAAACUAGAUAGCCUAAUAAUGAUUCUGGCUAUGUUUGGUAAAAUUUGCCCCGGUAGUUUCAGAGAAGAUUUUUGUAAAAGUUAACUAAGAUUUACGAAAAAUGGAUAAAAAUUGACUAAAAAGGGCAAUAACUCCUAAAGGGGUCAACUGACCAUUUUGGUCCUGUUGACUUAUUUGUAAAUCUUACUUUGCUGAACAUUAUUGCUGUUUACAGUUUAUCUCCAUCUAUAAUAAUAUUCAAGAUAAUAAC
rnacentral:lncRNA from 1 species